UACAGAGGUCUCAAGCGUUGUUCGGAUUCAUUGGGCGUAAAGGGUGCGUAGGCGGCGCGGUAAGUCGGGUGUGAAAUCUCGGAGCUUAACUCCGAAACUGCAUUCGAUACUGCCGUGCUUGAGGACUGGGGAGGAGACUGGAAUUUACGGUGUAGCGGUGAAAAUGCGUAGAUAUCGUAAGGAAGACCAGUGGCGAAGGCGGGUCUCUGGACAGUUCCUGACGCUGAGGCAACGAAAGGUCAGGGGGAGCAAAACGGG
rnacentral:rRNA from 1 species